CCACCACUAAGCCAGUGGUGAACUCCACAUACGCAUCCUUUGCUGAGGAUACGGUUAACGGAGCGAAAGCGACGUUCAACCUCAAAAGAAGCAGAGGGGGCUUAGUGGUGGGGUGACUGCGUACCUUUUGUAUAAUGGGUCAGCGACUUAUAUUCUGUAGCAAGGUUAACCGAAUAGGGGAGCCGGAGGGAAACCGAGUCUUAAUUGGGCGUUAAGUUGCAGGGUAUAGACCCGAAACCCGGUGAUCUAGCCAUGGGCAGGUUGAAGGUUGGGUAACACUAACUGGAGGACCGAACCGACUAAUGUUGAAAAAUUAGCGGAUGACCUGUGGCUGGGGGUGAAAGGCCAAUCAAACCGGGAGAUAGCUGGUUCUCCCCGAAAGCUAUUUAGGUAGCGCCUCGUGAAUUCAUCUCCGGGGGUAGAGCACUGUUUCGGCUAGGGGGCCAUCCCGGCUUACCAACCCGAUGCAAACUGCGAAUACCGGAGAAUGUUAUCACGGGAGACACACGGCGGGUGCUAACGUCCGUCGUGAAGAGGGAAACAACCC
rnacentral:rRNA from 1 species